rnacentral:rRNA from 1 species
AUUGAACGCUGGCGGCAUGCCUUACACAUGCAAGUCGAACGGCAGCGGACCUUCGGGUGCCGGCGAGUGGCGAACGGGUGAGUAAUGCAUCGGAACGUACCUUUCAGUGGGGGAUAGCGUAGCGAAAGUUACGCUAAUACCGCAUAUUCUGUGAGCAAGAAAGCAGGGGAUCGCAAGACCUUGCGCUGAUUGAGCGGCCGAUGUCAGAUUAGCUAGUUGGUGAGGUAAAGGCUCACCAAGGCGACGAUCUGUAGCGGGUCUGAGAGGAUGGUCCGCCACACUGGGACUGAGACACGGCCCAGACUCCUACGGGAGGCAGCAGUGGGGAAUUUUGGACAAUGGGGGCAACCCUGAUCCAGCCAUGCCGCGUGAGUGAAGAAGGCCUUCGGGUUGUAAAGCUCUUUCGGCCGGGAAGAAAUCGCACAGGCUAAUACCUUGUGUGGAUGACGGUACCGGAAUAAGAAGCACCGGCUAACUACGUGCCAGCCGCCGCGGUAAAAC